AGCCUCUUUGAGCACUUGAGUUCUCUGCCUCCUUGUAACCUUGCCUUCUCAAUUUCAAUAAAAGUAUUCUGUUCAUUUAUUUCCUCCUUUGCAAGUAUUGAAGAUUAACAGGUAUGGCUGAGUAAUUUCUUGUUUAGGGGUUAAGGGGGGAUUAUUAUCUAAUACUUAACAAAAGUUUUGAAUUUCCGUAAUGAUCCUGUAAGGGGAAUUACUGGUUAUGUGUUGUUAUGACUACGCCUCCAGUAGGAAACGAAGGAAGGCUGUGUUGUGCUGGUCUGAAGGAAGUGGUUCUGUGAAAGGUUUAUAGCCAGGCUUUUGAGACUGCCGGCUUGUUAAUCUCAGCAUGAAAGAGGACUGAGAACCUUUCAUGUUCUGCUAUGACCCGGAUCAGUAUCGAUCAAACUCUGCAGCAACACAUAGCCAGCUGGUUGUCGUUAUGGUUGAGGAGCCACAUAGAGACAAGUUCAAGAAUAAUUUAAGCACUCUGGCCAACCCAUUCAUAACCAUUUCAAAAGAGUUUUAAUAGUUAUGUAUAAGUUAGGCAAUCGUGUAAUUAGACCCAUUGAUCCAAUGCACAUUGCUAGUUCUCAACAUAUAAAAGAUGAUGAUCAAUAUUGGCCUUAUUUUAAGAUUGCAUAGGGGCAAUAGAUGGCACUCAUAUUGGUAUACAUGUCCUAGCAAAAAAGCAUAUACCUUUUUAUAAUAGGAAAGGAUAUACAAGCACAAAUGUGAUGGUUAUAUGUGAUUUUAAUGUGUUUUAUAUUUGUAUUGUAUGGCUGGAAAGGGUCUAUUCAUGAUGCAUGUAUUUUUAUAGACACCCUUCAUAAAUCACAUUUACGAUUCCCUUA